ACACUUUUGCAGUUGGGGGUAAACAUCUAUUGAAAUUCAAUGGACCGUGAUGAAUUGCUUUUGUUAGUUGGGGCAGCCAGGAUAUGACUCAUCGCAACGUCAGAAGCAAACAAUGGUUGCUAUUUUUAGUUCCUAUAUAAGCCAGAUACCCUCACAGCGGAUGGCCAGUCGGAUUUAUAAGGCGGAGUUCAGUGGUAUCUAAUCAUAUCCAGACUCGACAGCACUGUACAACUGUAUAGCUUCAUUUCCGAAUACGAGCAGCUAAACUACCAACAGACCAACUUUCAAAGAUGAACUUCCCAUCUAGUGUUGUAGAUGUCACAUACGGGCAAGAUUCCGUCACAUUGGCAAACAGCAUGGUCAACACUGUGGGUGAAUGGAUCGUGGCCAAAUUAGGAGAGCUGACUCAGCAGUUGAAGAAUGCGAAGGCACUUUUGGACGCUGGACGGCUUGAUGAACUUAAACAGGUUUUAUCACAAACGCCUGAUUUAGUCAAUCCACCUCCAUUACCUAUUUUAAAAAUGUAUAUUGAUGGCGAAGAUGAGAUUGACGAGAUGGAGGUGGAUCAGCCCGACAUUCCUGUAAUUAGAAAGACUGUUGAUCCAAAAGAAAUUUAUCAUGAAAUUAAGGAAAAUUAUAA